rnacentral:rRNA from 1 species
UACGUAGGGACCAAGCGUUGUUCGGAUUUACUGGGCGUAAAGGGCGCGUAGGCGGCUUGACAAGUCACUUGUGAAAUCUCCGGGCUUAACCCGGAACGGUCAGGUGAUACUGUUUUGCUAGAGUGCGGAAGGGGCAAUCGGAAUUCUCGGUGUAGCGGUGAAAUGCGUAGAUAUCGAGAGGAACACCAGAGGUGAAGACGGGUUGCUGGGCCGACACUGACGCUGACAGCGCGAAAGCCAGGGGAGCAAACGGG